rnacentral:tRNA from 1 species
GGAUUGUGGCUCAGUGGCAGAGUGCCACUUCGCACGUAUGAGGCCCUGGGUUCGAUCCUCAGCACCA